rnacentral:misc_RNA from 1 species
GCAAACUUGGUCAUUUAGAGGAAGUAAAAGUCGUAACAAGGUCUCCGUUGGUGAACCAGCGGAGGGAUCAUUACCGAGUUUCCGCAAACUCCCAAACCCACCGCGAACCCUACCUCUCGUUGCUUCGGCGGGGCAGCCCCGGGCCCAGCGCGGCCCGGAACCAGGCCCCCGCCGGAGGCCCCACGAAACUCCAGAAUUCCGAGCGGCCCCCUAUGGCGGGCGAGGAGAAAAAAGCAAAAAACAAAGCCAAAAAAGAAUGAAUCAAAACUUUCAACAACGGAUCUCUUGGUUCUGGCAUCGAUGAAGAACGCAGC